AAACGACACAUGAAAGUCAUGAAUCUUUUUUGAAUUUUUGGAGUGUGAUAAAAUACUUGAAAUCAGAGAUAAAAACUUACAAGGGACUAGUUUGUGCACUUCACAACAAGCAUUCUACUAUUUUUGCAGUAUCCCGCUCUUGAAGCAAAGAAGGAAAUGAGAGGAAACAAAAGAGCCACGUUUUGCGCGCAAACGGCCAAGGAAACAAACAAAUUGAACGAAAAUGUUGGACAAAUUGGCAAACGAGAGACACACACACAAGAAAUCAAAUAAGUGCAGCGUGUGCUGUAACGUCCAGCUAAGAGAAGAAAAACACAAGGUGAAAGAGAGAGAGGCAAGUUGUUUUACAGCGACUUUGAUGGGCACAAUAACGACGAUGAGGAAAAACGGCGAGCAAUAGAAGAGACGAGGGUAGAUGGAUGAUUAUACAGAAACGGACGUGACAAUCCUCAUUGGUCAUGUCCGCGGUAAGAAAGUAAGAAAAAGUUUCCCAUUCCUUUUUGUUACGCACGUCUCGAAAUAUUCAAUUGCCCUUUUUUUCUUUCUUCUUAAAUCCUCCCUGGGGUUAGUUGAUGCCGACGUGAUGCCACUGAAAUUGACUAGAACCAAUCAAACAAAUGCCCGUAUUCCAGAAA